AUGGCAAACUACAACGAAUGAUGUUAAUAAAAAAAAAAGUACUUUCAUCUUUACAGUGAAUUUGAUCAGAGAACAGAAACGUGUUGACUCUUCCCCAGGGCGGCCCAUGGGCCUCUGAGAAGUGGGAACAAGGAAAUGGUGAUUGCUUUCUCUGUUACAGACUUUUCAGCCUCACAGGAGAGAUUAUCGCUGUUUCUGCAUACAGAGGGUAUCUGCUCAUCAAGGACUUCUUGCAGAAACCAGAAGGAAACUGUUUUCUAAAAACGUGACAGAAUGUCUUCAGUAAGCCUAAAGUGACCAACACAAACACGUAACUCCACACGAGCAGUAACAUGGAAAGCAAAUAACACUUAUGAGAUCUAACGUUACUUUGUGGACACUGCCAAAAUACAAGAUAAGAGUAUGAUUUACAGAAAUAGCAGACGUGCUUCGAGUUGAGAACCAGGACCGGCCGACACGAAAGCCACACAAGGAACCAGAACCAGACAGCACAGAGCCACAACGAGCUCAACAGUUCCCACCUACAGACAGGCCCAACAUAACGGCGAGCCGCGGGGACACCGCGGCCACAUCGCGCCGCGGGGACAGAGACCCGGACAGCGGGCAGGGCAGGGCAGGGCAGGGCCGGGCCGCGCGGAACCGGCGGCCGCUCCGCCUCAGUCGCGCGUCAAACGCCGCCGGCUGCGCAGCUCCGGUGAGCGCUGCCCGUAGUAAAACGCCCGCGGGAGCAGCGAUACGCAGAGCUACAGCCAAGCGCUUCCGCCGCGGAGACGGCGAGCCCUCCAGCAGCACCGCGGGAACAGCGCUGCCCCUGCGCCCGCACUAACCCCAGCCCAGCGGCGUGUGGUGCUGCUUCCCCACACAGCGAGCGGCGUGCCCCACAACACGGGCAGCUCGAGGCAGUUAAAGGCCAGCAGCAAUCCCGUACUGCCACCACCCAGCACCUUACCUGCCCCGCUUCCGCCAGCACUUCAGGCAUUACCCCGGGAGGAA